CCCGGGGCCCCCACCCCUGAGCUGGAUGAUAUCUUGGCUUCCCAGUGUUGCCAUGGGCUCCAGGCUUCUCUGCUGCGUGGCCCUUUGUCUUCUGGGAGCAGGCCCAGUGGAUUCCGGACUCACCCAAACUCCAAGACACCUGGUCAAGGCAAGAGGACAGCAAGUGACGCUGAGUUGUUUCCCUAUCUCUGGACACCUGUCUUUGUACUGGUACCAACAGGCCGUGGGCCAGGGCCCCCAGUUACUCAUUCAGUAUUACAACAGGGAAGAGAGAGGCAAAGGAAACUUCCCGGAACGAUUCUCGGCUCAACAGUUCCCUGACUCUCACUCUGAGCUAAACAUGAGCUCCUUGGAGCUCA